ensembl:lncRNA
CAGAAAGUCAUUUAAACAGUUCUUCCUCUUUAACUAGAUGGAAAUUGUUUUUAGCUGCAAGUUUUGUGUAUGUGUGUGUACUUGUACACAUCAUUGUGUUUGAACCAAUAGAAAAGCUCCUCCUCAGAGGAAGAGGGCGGGCUUUACUUGGCAUCAGUGACAGAAAUGAAAAAAAGCUCAAAUGAGUGAGAAGGACGAUGAAGGAAACGUCUGUGCUGUGUCUGCUCUACGUUAAACCAGAGCCAGAUGUCGUCUACUCUUCACUGAAGUAGUCCACCAGUCCAACCACUGACAUCCAGCUGCUGGAGCCUAUCCCAGCUGUAGGGUGAGAAGCGGGGUACACCCUGGACAAGUCGCCAGUCUGUCGCAGGGCCAACACACAGGGACAGACAACCAUUCGCACUCACAUUCACCUAUGGGCAAUUUGGAGUAACCAAUUAACCUAUCCCCACUAAGUGCAUGUCUUUGGACAGUGGGAGGAAGCCGGAGUACCCGGAGAGAACAUGCAAACUCCACACAGAAAGACCCCGGCCUGAUGGUGGAAUUGAACUCAGGACCUUCUUGCUGUGCAACAACAGUGCUAACCACCGUGCUGCCCUCUCUUUUCUCAUUUCUAUGAAAAUGUUUCAAAAUAACUGGACAGAAAAUUGAGUGUCUGUCUGCUGAAACACUGCAAGGCUGUUAGAGAAGGGAAAAGGAGAAAGAAUCAGAGAGUGUUGUUUAUGGUCAGUAGUUGAGGUGAAUUAAGGUUAUAAUAAUAAUACUUCUCACAAUAAUAUACCAAUUUUUAUAAGAUACAGGGAAAUGGUUGCUAGAGGGUUACUCUCCAGGGCACUAGAGGUUUUUGCAUUACUAUUUUUAAAGCCUGGUAGAAUUGCAACCACAUUUUCUUUUUUUUGCAUAUGAGGAAUUGUACUUACAUGUAAUGCAUUCAGCUUGUCCUAGGUCACGGUUUCCUUCCACACAUGGCUUUGCAAAAACUGCAUAAAAAGCACUUGCAGCAACAAAAACACAAUAUUCCAGAAACACACUUUACUGAUCUGAUUGGCUGUUGAACUUAAGUUACACUGCUGGAAAUAGUUUAUUUUGAUGCACAAAAUAAACUUCCUGUGGUUGGAAACUACUGUGUGCAACCUUUUUGCAUUUUCAGUUUUGAGGAAUAAAAGUUUGAUAUUUCUCUAACUAGAAAUAACUAUUUUCAUGGGUUUUUUUGUAGUUUAUUGCACCUUUUAUGAAUUGAUGUAGUUACUAUAGACUUA